rnacentral:rRNA from 1 species
CGCAGAGAUGGCUUGGUGCUCGAAAGAGAACCGUAACACAGGUGCUGCAUGGCUGUCGUCAGCUCGUGUCGUGAGAUGUUGGGUUAAGUCCCGCAACGAGCGCAACCCUUGUCAUUAGUUGCUACAUUUGGUUGGGCACUCUAAUGAGACUGCCGGUGACAAACCGGAGGAAGGUGGGGAUGACGUCAAGUCCUCAUGGCCCUUAUAGGUAGGGCUACACACGUCAUACAAUGGAUGGUACAGAGGGUCGCCAACCCGCGAGGGGGAGCUAAUCCCAUAAAACCAUUCGUAGUCCGGAUCGCAGUCUGCAACUCGACUGCGUGAAGUCGGAAUCGCUAGUAAUCGCGGAUCAGAGUGUCGCGGUGAAUACGUUCCCGGGUCUUGUACACACC